UUUGGUCAACAGUAAGGUGAGAUAGAAAAGAGGAACAAGGGAUUUGGGAAAGAGAAAUAAAAUUAAAAAAAAAAAAACCUUCAGUCAUCGUAAGCAUCAAGCAGAAGGGUUUCUGGUGCUCCAUCGUGCUCCAUCCAAUACCACGUUCUACUUAGAAGAAUUAAAUAUCUUGACCCUCAACAGUAGAAUUCCAGAUUGCACACGAAUUGAGCAAUUGGAUCAAUAAGAAGUCGAGCUUUGGUUAGUUGGCUUUGAGAGAGACAGCAGUUGACGCGGGCGAGGAUUUCGUUAAUUAGAG